UCUUUCAUUUCUCAACAGUGGUAUAUACAUAGCUUUCUUUCUAUGUCAAAUCUUUUUCUAGAAAUCGUUGGAAAGCAAGCCCAGUUGGCCCAACAUCAAUAUAAAUACUGAUAACACCAAUUAUUUUUCCUCAACCCCACCAUUGUUGACCAAGAAUUUCAAUUACAAAUUAUUUCCACUCCUUUCACAAAUAUAUUAUAUCAAAAUGAGAAAAUCUUGAAACUUGCCUAAAAAGAGAGCAUGGUAUUGGUCAUCUAUCCUGAUAGCUCUUGUUUCAAGUCUGUGUAUUCUUUAUAGAUUAAGAGGAGAAAAGAAAAAGAAACCUUGCAUUAGUCCUUGUAAUUAAUUCCUUUUCUUUUUUAGAAGACUUUGUGUGGUGAUGGUAAUGAACAGGAACCGGUGAUUGUGCAGUGGUGGGUGUAGGUCAGUGGUGGACUUGUGGUGGUGGUUGUUGAGAUAGAAAGGGAAGGAGAAAUGGUCCCUGUGGUUUGUUUUUAAUGUAGCUGGAUGAUUUUACCCUCACGUGGCAAUCACGUGAGGGGCUUAACGGUUAAAAAGAGACGGCCGUUUGUAGAAGGGACGUCAGACAAUGAAAUGGAAAAGCUCAGGGACACUUAGUUAUAAAAAAAAAGUUCAGGGACGAAAACGCGAAUCGAGCAAACCACAGGGACGAUUUGUGAUCAUUUCUCUUUAAGAGAAAUUCUGCUUAGCACUCUAGUACUAUUAUUUAAGUUCGAAAAAUAGAAUACCGAUAGCCUAUAGAUCCCUGUAGCAUGUAGGAUGUUCUUUUCAGUUGUUCAAAAGUUAUUAGGCUUGCAAGGCACAAUCUACUAGAUCCACCAAAACUUUUUCUA